rfam:Felis catus isolate Cinnamon breed Abyssinian chromosome D1, whole genome shotgun sequence.
GCCUGUGUGGCUCAGUCGGUUAAGCGUCUGACUUCUGCUCAGGUCAUGAUCUCAAUUGUUCGUGGGUUCGAGCCCCGCAUCAGUCU